UCAAAUGAUGAACAUAUCAGUUCUGCUUCUGAAGUUAUUUGAAGUCAACAUACCCACAAUACUGA
rnacentral:snoRNA from 1 species